rnacentral:rRNA from 1 species
UACGUAGGGACCAAGCGUUGUUCGGAUUUACUGGGCGUAAAGGGCGCGUAGGCGGCUUGUCAAGUCCCUUGUGAAAUCUCUGGGCUUAACCCAGAACGGCCAAGUGAAACUGACAUGCUAGAGUGCAGGAGGGGCAAUCGGAAUUCUUGGUGUAGCGGUGAAAUGCGUAGAUAUGCGGAGGAACACCGAUGGCGAAGGCAAUCCCCUGGGCCUGCACUGACGCUCAUGCACGAAAGCGUGGGGAGCAAGCAGG